GCGGGGGGGAAUCGGAUUCGCUCCGGCUUUAUAAACCGGGAGCCCGGGGCUGGGGCGCUGCCUCUGGGAUUUGCUUUGCCCCGAGCCAUGUCCUGCCUCCGCUGGGGGCUUCUGCUGCUCCUGGGGGGCCCCGCGCUGGCGGCCCCCUUGCGAUGGGACAGAUCCCCGUUCAUCAUCUCGGAGAGCGAGCGGGGGCCGCCAUGCCCGGCCGAAUGCCCCCGCGAGCGCCACCGGCCCGUCUGCGCCUCCGACGGCAAACUCUACAAAUCCCAGUGUGUCUUCCAGCGCGCCCGGUGCCAGGAGCCCCUCCUCCAGGCACUGCCCCGCUUCCGCUGUGGGGGCGCCCACCACGACCCCACCAGCCUGAACCUCACCCGGUGCCAAGAGGAUCGUGCAGCCGCCCUGGCCCGGCGCCAGGCGGACUCCAUCUACGUCCCUGAGUGCAACGAGGACGGCUCCUUCUUGCAGGUGCAGUGCCACAGGCAGACGGGCUACUGCUGGUGCGCCACCACCGAGGGCAAACCCGUCAGCGGGACGUCCGUGCUCAACCAGACGCCCAACUGCACAGGUUCCUAUGUGGUGCGACCGUCCUGGCAGGACCCUAACUCAUCACGGAGAGAAGGCGGGAGACCCAGGCCCACCCCGGCAAGCCCCCCGCCCCACAAGCAGGAAGAGGGGACCUCGCUGCCGUUCCUCAUACCCAUCAUCCUCCCCGACUUCAAGCCCAAUCGCACGGUGAAGCGGAUUCAAGAGUUCCCUCCGUCCUGCGAGCAGGAGCGGCUGGAGGCCCUCGAGGAAAUUCAGCAGCGUCAGCAGGAGGGGACCUUCGUCCCAGAGUGCGAGGGAGACGGCACCUACAAACCCGUCCAGUGCCACCAGGCCACGGGCUACUGCUGGUGCGUGCAGGCCGACACCGGCCGGCCCGUCCCCGGCACCUCCACCAGGAACUUCCCGCCAGACUGCGAGUCUGAUGUUGCGGCCAAGAGCGCGGAGAUGGGCUCUCUCUUCCGGGACAGGGCGCUGCCAGGCUGCCCGGGUCCCAAGAAGGCAGAGUUCCUGUCCAAUCUGAUGAAGGCCUUGACGUCCGACAUGACCCAGUCCCGGCUGAUGCCCAUCACGCAUAGGAGGCUGUCGGAUCGCACGCCGGGCCCCAGCCUGGAGGAGCGGGCGGCGCGCUGGCAUUUCGUGCGCCUGGACAAGGACUUCAGCGACGGGCUGAGCGAGCGGGAGCUGCGGCCCCUCAAGCUCUACGUGAAGCAGCACGCGCGGCCCAAGCGCUGCGCCCGCAAGUUCCUGGAGUACUGCGACCUGGACGCCAACCGGCUCGUCUCCCUGCCGGAGCUCAGGGCCUGCCUGGGACUCAGCUAGCACUGGGUGUGCGUGAGCCCCCCGCUCCGGGGGGUUGGCAGCUGGCUUUGGAUUAGGUGGCAGCAGAGCCCCUGGGUUGCGUCUCCUUGAAGAGAGGCGCGCCCUGCUUUGCCCUUCCCACCCCCAGGGGGCGCUGCCUCGCCCAGCACUGCAUUCCCACCUCUGAUGGCAGACGAUUUGCACUGUGAACUGUAGAAUGUGGAUUUUAUUUUUAACUCCCUGGCGCUGAAGAAAGUCGGACGGACCUUUUAGAAAGAAGGCGGGCGGUCGAUCUAAGGGAUGUGGACGUGCCGGGCCAUUGAUUUGCACCUGGGGGACUCCGCUGCUGUUCAGCCCUGGUUUUCCUCUCUUCUGUAGAUAAGAGAAUCCUGCAAAAUGCAAAGUGCCGUUAGGGGUUCUUACUUUAUUUAACCCCACCUAAUCUUUGCUUAUUUUUACUAUCGGGGGGGUUUAAAAUUGGCUCCGACUACUUUAUAAUCCCUCCACUUCCUUAUAAAGCAGAAACUGGUAAGAAAAACAACAACCCAACAAUCCUGUAAUCUGUGUCCUGAAUCAAUAAAUUAUAGAAGUAUCGUG